UGCAGUCGAGCGAAUGGAUUAAGAGCUUGCUCUUAUGAAGUUAGCGGCGGACGGGUGAGUAACACGUGGGUAACCUACCCAUAAGACUGGGAUAACUCCGGGAAACCGGGGCUAAUACCGGAUAAUAUUUUGAACUGCAUAGUUCGAAAUUGAAAGGCGGCUUCGGCUGUCACUUAUGGAUGGACCCGCGUCGCAUUAGCUAGUUGGUGAGGUAACGGCUCACCAAGGCGACGAUGCGUAGCCGACCUGAGAGGGUGAUCGGCCACACUGGGACUGAGACACGGCCCAGACUCCUACGGGAGGCAGCAGUAGGGAAUCUUCCGCAAUGGACGAAAGUCUGACGGAGCAACGCCGCGUGAGUGAUGAAGGCUUUCGGGUCGUAAAACUCUGUUGUUAGGGAAGAACAAGUGCUAGUUGAAUAAGCUGGCACCUUGACGGUACCUAACCAGAAAGCCACGGCUAACUACGUGCCAGCAGCCGCGGUAAUACGUAGGUGGCAAGCGUUAUCCGGAAUUAUUGGGCGUAAAGCGCGCGCAGGUGGUUUCUUAAGUCUGAUGUGAAAGCCCACGGCUCAACCGUGGAGGGUCAUUGGAAACUGGGAGACUUGAGUGCAGAAGAGGAAAGUGGAAUUCCAUGUGUAGCGGUGAAAUGCGUAGAGAUAUGGAGGAACACCAGUGGCGAAGGCGACUUUCUGGUCUGUAACUGACACUGAGGCGCGAAAGCGUGGGGAGCAAACAGGAUUAGAUACCCUGGUAGUCCACGCCGUAAACGAUGAGUGCUAAGUGUUAGAGGGUUUCCGCCCUUUAGUGCUGAAGUUAACGCAUUAAGCACUCCGCCUGGGGAGUACGGCCGCAAGGCUGAAACUCAAAGGAAUUGACGGGGGCCCGCACAAGCGGUGGAGCAUGUGGUUUAUUUCGAAGCAACGCGAAGAACCUUACCAGGUCUUGACAUCCUCUGAAAACUCUAGAGAUAGAGCUUCUCCUUCGGGAGCAGAGUGACAGGUGGUGCAUGGUUGUCGUCAGCUCGUGUCGUGAGAUGUGGGUUAGUCCCGCAACGAGCGCAACCUUGAUCUUAGUUGCCAUCAUAAGUUGGGCACUCUAAGGUGACUGCCGG
rnacentral:rRNA from 1 species